UACGGAGGGGGCUAGCGUUGUUCGGAAUUACUGGGCGUAAAGCGCACGUAGGCGGCUUUGUAAGUUAGAGGUGAAAGCCUGGAGCUCAACUCCAGAACUGCCUUUGAUACUGCAUGGCUUGAAUCCAGGAGAGGUGAGUGGAAUUCCGAGUGUAGAGGUGAAAUUCGUAGAUAUUCGGAAGAACACCAGUGGCGAAGGCGGCUCACUGGACUGGGUAUUUGACGCUGAGGUGCGAAAAGCGUGGGGGAGCAAACAGGGAUUAGAAAACCCCCGGUAAGCCCAGA
rnacentral:rRNA from 1 species